UACGUAGGGUGCAAGCGUUAAUCGGAAUUACUGGGCGUAAAGCGUGCGCAGGCGGUUUUGUAAGUCUGACGUGAAAUCCCCGGGCUCAACCUGGGAAUUGCGUUGGAGACUGCAAGGCUGGAGUCUGGCAGAGGGGGAUGGAAUUCCGCGUGUAGCAGUGAAAUGCGUAGAUAUGCGGAGGAACACCGAUGGCGAAGGCAAUCCCCUGGGCCUGCACUGACGCUCAUGCACGAAAGCGUGGGGAGCAAACAGG
rnacentral:rRNA from 1 species